GAUAUGGCUCAGAACGAACGCUGGUGGCGUGUCUAUACAUGCAAGUCGAGCGAGGCAGCAAUGCCGAGCGGCGAACGGGUGAGUAACGCGUAAGCAAUCUGCCCCAUAUCAGGAAAUACCCGUGCCAACGCGCGGUUAAUGUCCAGGAGAGUGGCCCUCUGCAUGGAGGGUUGACUAGAGAUUUAUCGGUAUGGGAUGAGCUUGCGUCCGAUUAGCUAGUUGGCGGGGCAACGGCCCACCAAGGCGACGAUCGGUAGCCGGCCUGAGAGGGUGAUCGGCCACAUUGGGACUGAGAUACGGCCCAGACUCCUACGGGAGGCAGCAGUAGGGAAUAUUGCACAAUGGGGGAAACCCUGAUGCAGCAACGCCACGUGUGGGAAGAAGCAUUUCGGUGUGUAAACCACUGUCAUGAGGGAAUAAGGCCCUUAUUCGUAAGGGAUUGAAUGUACCUUGAGAGGAAGCACCGGCAAACUUCGUGCCAGCAGCCGC
rnacentral:rRNA from 1 species